rnacentral:rRNA from 1 species
GAUGAACGCUGGCGGCGUGCCUAAUACAUGCAAGUCGAGCGAACAGAUGAGGAGCUUGCUCCUCUGACGUUAGCGGCGGACGGGUGAGUAACACGUGUAUAACCUACCUAUAAGACUGGGAUAACUUCGGGAAACCGGAGCUAAUACCGGAUAAUAUAUUGAACCGCAUGGUUCAAUAGUGAAAGACGGUUUUGCUGUCACUUAUAGAUGGAUCCGCGCCGCAUUAGCUAGUUGGUAAGGUAACGGGUUACCAAGGCAACGAUGCGUAGCCGGCCUGAGAGGAGGAGCAGCCACACGGGGACGGAGACACGGCCAAGACUCAUACGGGAGGCAGCAGUGGGGAAUUUUGGACAAUGGGCGCAAGCCUGAUCCAGCCAUGCCGCGUGCAGGAUGAAGGCCUUCGGGUGGUAAACUGCUUUUGUACGGAACGAAAAGCCUUCUUUUAAUACAGGAGGGUCAUGACGGUACCGGAAGAAUAAGCACCGGCUAACUACGUG